CAUUGGGAUACCCAACAUAACCAAGGAAUACAAAAGAAGAGACAUGGGCGGCUGGAGGAGAGAGUGCCCAGCAAUGCAGAGCCUGUUAGUAUGGAAUUUCUAGUGCAAGCCAUAGAGCAACCUAAGAUUCUCCCCCUGUACCCCCCCCCAAAAAGAUUCUCUUCUGAUGGAAUACUGGAAAGAUGCAAGAUUUCUCUCUGGCCCCACCCACUUCUGUCUGCAUUAUGAAAAAGAACUCUCUCAGAAGGCUGGCGGGCAGCUACCAUGGCAGAUGAGGAGGAAGACCCUACCUUUGAGGAGGAAAAUGAAGAAAUUGGAGGAGGAGCGGAAGGUGGCCAGGGGAAGAGAAAGAGACUUUUUUCUAAAGAACUGCGCUGUAUGAUGUAUGGGUUUGGGGAUGACCAGAAUCCUUACACAGAGUCUGUGGAUAUUCUUGAAGACCUUGUCAUAGUGUUCAUCACUGAAAUGACUCACAAGGCAAUGUCGAUUGGAAGACAAGGGCGAGUGCAAGUUGAAGAUAUUGUCUUCUUAAUUCGAAAGGAUCCAAGGAAGUUUGCUAGAGUUAAAGACUUACUAACUAUGAAUGAAGAAUUGAAACGGGCUAGAAAAGCUUUUGAUGAAGCCAACUAUGAAUCAUGACAC